GUUCUUUUGUUUUAAAUAUAAGAUCAGGCCUGCCCAUUGAUUUUAAAUUAUUAAAAGGCUGCGGUAUUUUAACUGUACGAAGGUAGCAUAAUCAUUUGUCUUUUAAUUGAAGGCUAGUAUGAAUGGUUUGAUGAAAAAUUAACUUUCUUUUUUUAAUUUAUUUUAAUUUAAUUUUUUAGUUAAAAAGCUAAAAUUUUUUUAUAGGACGAGAAGACCCUAUAGAAGUUUACUUUUUUUAGAAUUUGAUUUUUUUUGUUUAUAAAUAUUUUCUUUUUGAAGAAAAAGUUUUGUUGGGGUGAUAAUAAAAUUUAUUUAACUUUUGUUUUUUCUUUUCAUUAAUUUAUGUUUUUUUGAUCCGAUUAUUUUGAUUAUAAGAUUAACUUACCUUAGGGAUAACAGCGUAAUUUUUUCGGAGAGUUCAUAUCGAUGAAUAAGUUUGCGA
rnacentral:rRNA from 1 species